UUGUUCACUUCAGCAACACACAUACUAAAAUUAGAACAAUAUAGAGAUUAGCAUGGCCCCUGCACAAGGAGGACAUACAAACUUGUAAAGCAUUUCGGGUUUUU
rfam:Tupaia chinensis contig9837, whole genome shotgun sequence.